UACUUAGCAAGCCAUGAUGCUCCAGAGUGUGAAUACCUGUCAAUUACACAGCAUUAGUCAGCCCCUCAAUGAGCGCACUGUGGAUGAUGAAAGCAGACAGGGAAGAAUGUGGGACAGGGUUGCCUCCAUUCAUAGACAUUACUCUUUGAAGCAUGAAGCAGCAUUUGAAAGAGCGGUGCUGCUGUCCCUACUCAUGCAGUGACUUACAAGGUCCAUCACAUCAUGCUGAAACAGCUAAAUCAAGAAACCCAGCAGAGCUUCUAAGAACAUUUGAGCUACACUCAGGGGCUCUACCAACACAGCUGUGAUCUGAACAUUUGUGUAGUACACUGCAUGUGGGAUGUCAAGAAGGCAAAUAACACAGCCCCUGCCUGAACUGGAGGGACUUGCACCCACAUUGUCCCGCUCAGGGAUAAGAAAAUUGAAUCUAAACCUCCAGCUGUCUACGAUUGCACAGAAGGAGUCACAAAACUGAAGGACAAAACUCUGACUAAUUGAAAAUUCCGACUAUCAUCGUUUUUCUUGACUCAAGAACUGAAAAAAGGAUUCAUGCCUUUUAGUGUCAAAAAGGUUGGAAUCUGCCUGUAGCCCUCAGAAGAUAAGAAUAGCACACUGAAGCAUGGUACACAUUUCUCUCUAGAGCUGAUUUUCUUGUUUGCAUCUCUUCUUUUCAUUCUAUCUUGACCCUUUAUGUUGUUCCUCUGAUGUCCAUGACACUGUUCUUAGAGCUCUUUUAUGGAUUUAGAGAGAAUGGAAAAGCCUGAAGCAACUUGUUGGCAGUAGGCAUAAGUGAUGGAUUUGAAAAGCAGAAAGGUUAGAAAACUAAAUGGUAUAUAUAACUAAAACUUAUGAGCAGUAGAGGGUUGCUUGCCCUCUGCCCUUGCAAGUGGGAUGGAGGUGACUGUAAAAGCAAAACAAUAUAAAUUAAAGGUUAAAUUGUA